UGCUUCUGCUAAAAGAACACUUUUUUUUUUUCAUUUACCAAAGACAAUCAAGGCUCCAAUUUUCUUAAGAAGGUGCUUUUAAAACAAUUUGAACCACCCCAAACCAGCUGUAUAACAGUAAUCAAACUCGAUAGGUCGGAAAUUACACUCGAUAGGUCGGAAAUUAAAGACGGAGGGUCAAACUCAGCUGUGUUCUGCCACAACUGAACAAAUUCAAGAAAUAGGCUUGCAGAACUGCGGUAUAACAGCCACGCCAGUGCAUAGCGUUGACAGCCUCGAAAGUGUUUUGAGGACAGGGCUCCA
rnacentral:lncRNA from 1 species